GUGCUCACUUCAGCAGCACAUAUACUAAAAUUGGAAUGAUACAGAGAAGAUUAGCACGGCCCCUGUGCAAGGAUGACCCGCAAAUUCGUGAUUUCGUUUUUGUGGUU
rnacentral:snRNA from 1 species